AUUGAACGCUGGCGGCAGGCCUAACACAUGCAAGUCGAGCGGAUGAAGGGAGCUUGCUCCUGGAUUCAGCGGCGGACGGGUGAGUAAUGCCUAGGAAUCUGCCUGGUAGUGGGGGAUAACGUCCGGAAACGGGCGCUAAUACCGCAUACGUCCUGAGGGAGAAAGUGGGGGAUCUUCGGACCUCACGCUAUCAGAUGAGCCUAGGUCGGAUUAGCUAGUUGGUGGGGUAAAGGCCUACCAAGGCGACGAUCCGUAACUGGUCUGAGAGGAUGAUCAGUCACACUGGAACGGAGACACGGACCAGACUCCUACGGGAGGCAGCAGUGGGGAAUAUUGGACAAUGGGCGAAAGCCUUAUCCAGCCAUGCCGCGUGUGUGAAGAAGGUCUUCGGAUUGUAAAGCACUUUAAGUUGGGAGGAAGGGCAGUAAGUUAAUACCUUGCUGUUUUGACGUUACCAACAGAAUAAGCACCGGCUAACUUCGUG
rnacentral:rRNA from 1 species